rnacentral:lncRNA from 1 species
UUCGAAUGAAUGCGACAACAGAAAUCUCACGUUUAUUUGUACAUCUAGUUUCAAGCAAAAACAUUUAUAUAUUGGACAUUGGAUUUAAUACUAGAAAACCCUUGUGUUUUUUAUAAUUGAAGAUCAAGUCAUAUUGGAUUGUAAAGAGAUCAAAAUGUCAAUUUUUCUAAAAAUAACCGAUCAUCGAUUGUUGAUCGACCGCUAUUUCAAGCGCUUGGAGACUGGAGUUGAAUGAGUUUUGAUUCAAAAUCGACGAGAAAGUGUAAAAGCCUCCAUAUCUUCUUGGUUCCAGAAGGUUAGAUGCUGGCGUACAAUAUCUUUAAAUAUUUAUAUAAACUUUAGCAAUUAUAUGGUCUAAUAUUAGCAGAAAGAGAAGUUGAUGAUCAGAUCAAUGUCUGGUUAGAUUCUAACAAAACAAGAAAAUGAACCAUAAUCUAUUUUUAUAUGAAAACUUAAAGUUAUGUCAGUUGCAAUUAGAAGCGUUUUAAGCAAGUACUAUCUUGAUGGACGAGGAGGUGAAACUAACCCAUUGAUGACAAAUAGUGAUUCACGCACAGUGAGCUCAGAGAUAGAAAUAAACAAAAAAUAUUUGUUU